GACGGAGGAUGCAAGUGUUAUCCGGAAUCACUGGGCGUAAAGCGUCUGUAGGUGGUUCAAUAAGUCAACUGUUAAAUCUUGAGGCUCAACUUUCAAAAAUCGCAGUCGAAACUAUUGGACUCGAGUAUAGUAGGGGUAAAGGGAAUUUCCAGUGGAGCGGUGAAAUGCGUAGAGAUUGGAAAGAACACCAACGGCGAAAGCACUCUGCGUGGGCCGACACUGACACUGAGAGACGAAAGCUAGGGGAGCGAAUGGG
rnacentral:rRNA from 1 species